UUGCCAAGGAUCUAGACAUGAUUAUUUUUUUAUUAAAUUUUUUUUAAUCUUAUUCAUAGUUUCUUUUUAUUUGUUUUCUAACUUGCUUAGUUCUAUAGUCAAACUUACUUUCUUCCAAAAAAAAAAUCUCUACAUUAACACCUCAUAAUCUACUUAGAGAAUUAGAUACUUAAUCAUAAAACCUAAAAAGUGAAACAAAUCAAUUUACUUUUGACUAAUUACCAAAUCUGGCCACC
rnacentral:lncRNA from 1 species